CCAAGAAGUCUAGCAUGUACGCGAGUCGUAGGGUCUUACGAAACCUGAAGGCGCAAUGAAAGUGAAGGCUAUCUUUUUCGGUAGCUGAGGUGUGAUCCGGGCUUCAAAAACUCGGCGCAACAUCGGCCCGUCUCAUUCCGCAUUGCCGGAGAGGCGGAGCUUGAGCGUACAUGCUGGGACCCGAAAGAUGGUGACCUAUGCCCGAGCAGGCUGAAGCCAGAGGAAACUCUGGUGGAAGGCCGUAGCGGUUCUGACGUGCAAAUCGAUCGUCGAACUUGGGCAUAGGGGCGAAAGACUAAUCGAACCAUCUAGUAGCUGGUUCCCUCCGAAGUUUCCCUCAGGAUAGCUGGCACUCAUUAAUGCAUUUUUAUCCGGUAAAGCGAAUGAUUAGAGGUAUUGGGGACGAAAUGUCCUCAACCUAUUCUCAAACUUUAAAUGGGUAAGACGCUUGCCUCGCUUCAUUGGAGGUGAGCCGUUCGAAUGCGUUGUGCCAAGUGGGCCACUUUUGGUAAGCAGAACUGGCGCUGUGGGAUGAACCAAACGUGUGGUUAAGGUGCCUCAGCUAACGCUUAUGAGAUACCAUGAAAGGUGUUGGUUGAUAAAGACAGCAGGGCGGUGGCCAUGGAAGUCGGAAUCCGCUAAGGAGUGUGUAACAACUCACCUGCCGAAUCAACUAGCCCUGAAAAUGGAUGGCGCUCCAGCGUCAUACCUAUACCACACCGUCGCGGCAAUAUAUUCACCCAGGAUGUGAAGCUGCGAUGAGUAGGAGGGCCGCUGCGGUAUGCGUGGAAGCCUAAGGCGUGAGCCUGGGUGGAGCUGCCGUGGGUGCAGAUCUUGGUGGUAGUAGCAAGUAUUCAAAUGAAAACUUUGAAGACUGAAGUGGAGAAGGGUUCCACGUGAACAGCACUUGAACGUGGGUGAGUCGGUCCUAAGUGAUAGGAGAACUCCGUUCUGAAAUGAGGCAAUUUGUUUUCUCUUGGUCCUAUUUGGGGAGCUUGCCUAAUCCUAUCGAAAGGGAAUCGCGUUAAUAUUCGCGAACUCGGCUGCGGAGAUUGCUCCUUCGGGAGCACAUGUGGUAACACAACCAAACUUGGAGACGCUAGCGGUGGUCCCGGGAAGAGAUUUCUUUUCUUUGUUAGGAACAGAACCCCUGGAAUCGGCUUGUCCGGAGAUAGGGGCGUUGUUGCCGUAAAGCACCGCGGCUCUUGCGGUGUCCGGAGCAUUAUCGUUGGCUCUUGAAAAUCCAAGAGCGGUAUUAUGAUUUUCGUGUCGAGCCGUACCCAUAUCCGCAUCAGGUCUCCAAGGUGAAAAGCCUCU
rnacentral:rRNA from 1 species